CCUACGGGUGGCAGCAGUAGGGAAUCUUCCGCAAUGGGCGAAAGCCUGACGGAGCAAUGCCGCGUGAGUGAAGAAGGCCUUCGGGUCGUAAAACUCUGUUAUAAGAGAAGAACAAAUUGUAGAGUAACUGCUACAGUCUUGACGGUAUCUUAUCAGAAAGCCACGGCUAACUACGUGCCAGCAGCCGCGGUAAUACGUAGGUGGCAAGCGUUGUCCGGAUUUAUUGGGCGUAAAGGGAGCGCAGGUGGUUUCUUAAGUCUGAUGUGAAAGCCCACGGCUUAACCGUGGAGGGUCAUUGGAAACUGGGAAACUUGAGUACAGAAGAGGAAUGUGGAACUCCAUGUGUAGCGGUGGAAUGCGUAGAUAUAUGGAAGAACACCAGUGGCGAAGGCGACAUUCUGGUCUGUUACUGACACUGAGGCUCGAAAGCGU
rnacentral:rRNA from 1 species